ensembl:lncRNA PPIEL peptidylprolyl isomerase E like (pseudogene)
GGAAGCAAGAUGGCGGCCGCCGAGAGGGUUCACAAAGGCUCUGGUCCAUUAGAGGAAGGAGGUCCCAGAAUAGCUGGGAAAUUACGAGAACAGCCUCACUGCACGAGUUGGUGAAUGCUGUGAUGGCGAUUGUAUGAUGGACGGUGAUGUUGAAACCAGACUGGGGAAUGACCGCCCCAUCCGGAGAGAAAAGCACCAAGGAUUCUCUUUUGUUGAAUUUGAGUUGGCAGAGGAUGUUGCAGCAGCUGUCAACAACAUGUUUGGUCAGAUGAAGACUGGGUGGAGAAGUUUGCUGGGAAGAGGAUAAAGAGGAAGGUGGUUGAGACUUCCCAAAGCAGAAAGCCAGGAGCGCAGCCCAUUUACUGCCUUCUCCAGGAAGCUUUUCUGAAUCCUCCAGUGAGUAAGGGAGAGCCCACUGCUAAAAAAGGCCUAGUCAAAUCCUCAGGUGUACAUGGACAUCAAGAUUGGGAACAAGCCGGCUGGCUGCAUCCAAACCCUCCUGCGUUCCGACGUCGUGCCCAUGACCACAGAGAAUUUUCUCUACAUGUGCACCCAUUUAAAGGACUCGGCUUCAAGGGAAGCAGCUUCCACCGCAUUAUCCCCCAGUUCAUUUGCCAGGGCAGUGAUUUCACAAACCACGGUGGCACCAGGGGUCUGCGCAGGCAUGGCACUAAGUGUCCCAUGGCACAUUUGGCCCUCAUGGAGGCCUCAAAAGGGCAGGACCAGCACCCUCUUCUACGGAGGAAGGAACGGGCACAGCAGAAACAAGGAGAGUCAGCAAUUACCAGCCAGCCAAGGUCCUGGAAGCUGACGUAGAGCUCGUGCCGACGGCAGACCUGCCGGCCGUGGGAGCCGCGGACGUCAUCUGCAGGGACAGAAGGGGCAAGGUCUUUUCUGGGGUUCCUGCUGUGUGCAGCUACUAUGGGGUACCAGGGUGGGGGAUGCCCUGAUGAGCACAUUUGUCAAAUAAAUGAAUGACAGGAAACCA